UGGGGAAUAUUGCGCAAUGGGGGAAACCCUGACGCAGCAACGCCGCGUGAAGGAAGAAGGCCUUCGGGUUGUAAACUUCUUUGAUGAGGGACGAAGGAAGUGACGGUACCUCAAAAACAAGCCACGGCUAACUACGUGCCAGCAGCCGCGGUAAUACGUAGGUGGCGAGCGUUGUCCGGAAUUACUGGGUGUAAAGGGCGCGUAGGCGGGGGCAUAAGUCAGAUGUGAAACCCCCCGGCUUAACCGGGGGACUGCAUCUGAAACUAUGUUUCUUGAGUGCUGGAGAGGAAAGCGGAAUUCCCAGUGUAGCGGUGAAAUGCGUAGAGAUUGGGAGGAACACCAGUGGCGAAGGCGGCUUUCUGGACAGUAACUGACGCUGAGGCGCGAAAGCGUGGGGAGCGAACAGG
rnacentral:rRNA from 1 species